rnacentral:tRNA from 1 species
GGGGAUGUGGUGCAGCUGGUCGCGCACGAAGGCCUCGUAGGCCUUGAGGUCUGCGACGACGACGCGCAGCAAGUAGUCGGCUUCACCA